rnacentral:rRNA from 1 species
GAAUCCGCUAAGGAGUGUGUAACAACUCACCUGCCGAAUGAAGUAGCCCUGAAAAUGGAUGACGCUUAAGCGGGUAGCCGAUACUACGCCGUCUAAAAAACUGAUUUUUAGAUGAGUAGGGGGGCGUGGUGAUCGUAUCGAAGCACUGCGUGCGAACGUGUGUGGAACGGUCACUAGUGCAGAUCUUGGUGGUAGUAGCAAAUAUUCAAGUGAGAACCUUGAAGGGCGAAGCGGGGAAGGGUUCCAUGCGAACAUUGAUUGGGCAUGGGUGAGUCGUACCUAAGCCGAGUGGCAAUUGCUUACUCACGCGGCGAAAGGGAAGCGGGUUGAAAUUCCCGCACACGGAUGUGGAAGCGGCGACGCAUUACUGGGGCGGUGACGUUGGCAGUGGCGCUGGGCAGAGUUGUCUUUUCUGUUUAACCGCCUGACGCUUGCACUGUGGAAUCCGCUUGUCGGGAGAAACAGGCAAGGCACGGGUAGAGCGCCGGGCUUUUUCCGGCGUCCAGCUCGCCACUGACGGCCCUUGAAAAACUGUCCUCAGAUAUUAAACUCCACGCCGUGGCGUACCGAUAACCGCAUCAGGUCCCCAAGGUGAACAGCCUCUGCUCGAUAUGAAAAAUGCAGGUAAGGGAAGUCGGCA